UCUUGUAGUGUGGAGCUUAACUCUUCACACCACUGAGCUGAAUUUUACCAUUACAAAAUUUGGUGUUGUUGAAGUUGGAUAAAUUUAUUCAUCCUACCAUCAAUGUCCUUGAUAUUGCGACAUGUUAGUCUGUAUCAUAGGAUCCGUUACUGAAUUAUUCAUUACGAUAGUUCCAUUCAGUACUCUAUAUGAAAUGUCUCUUUUCUUUUUGUGGAUCGUUUAUUCUACUUUCCUUUAAUUAUGGUGUCCUCUUUCUGCUAUUGCAGGUUUUUCCAGCAGCUGAAUGGUUAACAGGUUCUAAGGUACCUUUAAAGUAUUCACUUAAAACUAUAACUGAUAUGGUCAAAGAGCAGCUGACUCAUGAAAAUGUUAGGAUUUUCUUAGAAUCAGAUAAGGUUGAGGGGCAAGAAAAUUUAAUGGAAUAUUAUACUCUGUGGAAUCAGUUCCAGCCUCUGUUAUAAAGAUGUGGAUGGAUAAAUCACCAAACGUUAAUAUGUUCCUCCCAACCAAGGACUCCUUGACGGCGGCAACUGUUGAGUUGAAAGCUGUAAAUGAAAAGGCUCUCGCCCUUCAUAGUCUGCCACGUUCACCUGUGAAGAAAACAAAGGAGCUGAAAAGCGACUCCAUCAAUGAAAAGACUUAUGCCCUUCGUAAUCGUCAGAGGAAUUUGAAUUCUAAAAGAGAUGAGAAGUGUGAAGUUCUUGCGGAAAAGGUUUCUGGUAUUCGCCACUCACAACGUGUUCUAGUUAUGAAACAAGAGCAGAAGAGUCACCCUACUGCUUUACAGGUCCCUGCCCCUCAUCCACAAGAAUAUUUCAUGGAAGAGAAUGCUGGUAAAGUUUGUCUGAUCUACGACAAACGGAUGCUGAAACAUAUUCCCCCCCGUAAGCAUGUUGAGAAGCCUGAGAGGAUUGCAGCAAUAUAUAGAAAGCUUCAAGCCGAAAAUUUGCUUGAAAGGUGUGUUGUCUAUGAGUCAGAGUGUGCCAGGCUGAAGUACGUGCUGCAUGUCCACAAGGACAAGUACUUCCGUUCCAUCUUAAGCGAAAGAGAGACUAAGGAUGAUAAAGGCGACAUGUAUUUUGGAGAAAAUUCCCUGGACGCUAUUUUGUUGGCAGCUGGUGGAGCUAUCAAGGCCUGUAAGAAAGUUAUUACUGGCGAACAUGCAAAUGCAUUCGCUAUUGUUCGUCCGCCCGGACACCACGCAAAGAAAGCAAUGGGCGGAGGAUUUUGUUACUUCAACAAUAUUGCUGUUGGUGCCAAGUACCUAAUGGAAAAACACGGAACCAAGAAAGUUCUUAUAUUGGAUUGGGAUGUCCAUUUCUGUGAUGGUACAGAAGAUAUCUUCAGAGAGAGUGCUGAUGUUCUAGUUAUUUCAAUGCACCGUCUUGGUUUGUUUCCAGAUCUGGAUGGUAAUCAUUUUAGGCGUUUUGCAUAUUCUGGAAACAUUGGUAAAGGUGCUGGUACUGGCUAUAACUGUAAUUUGUGUUGGAGUGACUCUAAAGUUGGUAAUGAUGACCUCUAUGCGGUGUUUGAUUAUAUUGUUAUGCCAUUAAUUCAAGACUUCGAGCCUGAAAUCAUUUUGAUAUCUGCAGGCUUCGAUGCUGCUAAAGGAGAUUUGCUUGGUGACUGUUGGGUCACCCAUGUUGGAUAUGCUACUGUUCUGCAUAAGCUGUUGAAGCUUAAAAUUGGGCUUGUUCUCAUCCUAGAAGGUGGAUAUAACUUGGAGGUUUUAGGUGAAUGCUGUGCGUCAUGUGUGCGAGUUUUAUCAGGUGAUUACACUGUUGUAGAUGACAGAGAGGAGUACUUUCCAUUGGCAUCUACUUGGGAUGCUAUACUACAGGGCUUCCUUGAGUUGCUAUUGGGAGUCUUUAAAACCUGACAUCCCAGAAGAUGUUCUUGCUUGGAAGCAGCCAAAUCCAAAUCAUGCAAAGAUCCCAAAUCCUGAUCAUGCAAAGAUACCAGACUGAAUUACCCUAGCAAGCACACUCAACAUGUGCUUCUCUUGUGGAUUUGCAGCUUUCAUGUGCUUGUGGCUUCAGAGCUCUACUUUUGCCUCGUGUAUCCCAUCGCAUUUUAGCACUGCAUUGUAUCCCGUCACAUUGUAGCACUGCACUUGUAUCACGCCGUGUAACAACGUACCGUUCUAAUGUGUAACACUUCAUGUAUCCCGUGUGUCAGUCAUGUAGUCCCGUCACUAUACAUUCACUUUUCCAUCCAUUUUGUAUUGUCUGGCAGUCUGGCUAGUCAUACCUACAUGUAAUUUGUUAUUACACCUUUUUUUUGUUCUUUUUGGACAUGCCUAAUUUGAAGAGUGAUGUUGAUCAUUAAAGGUAUUUAAGAAUGUACCACCAUGUAGAACC